rnacentral:rRNA from 1 species
UACGGAGGAUGCAAGCGUUAUCCGGAAUGAUUGGGCGUAAAGGGUCCGCAGGUGGCCCUGUAAGUCUGCUGUCAAAGCGUGCGGCUUAACCGCAUAAAGGCAGUGGAAACUACAGAGCUAGAGUGCGUUCGGGGCAGCAGGAAUUCCUGGUGUAGCGGUGAAAUGCGUAGAGAUCAGGAAGAACACCGGUGGCGAAAGCGUGCUGCUAGGCCGUAACUGACGCUGAGGGACGAAAGCUAGGGGAGCGAAU